UACGUAGGGGGCAAGCGUUAUCCGGAUUUACUGGGUGUAAAGGGAGCGUAGGCGGUAAUGCAAGUCAGAAGUGAAAGCCCGGGGCUCAACUCCGGGACUGCUUUUGAAACUGUGUUACUAGAUUGCAGGAGAGGUAAGUGGAAUUCCUAGUGUAGCGGUGAAAUGCGUAGAUAUUAGGAGGAACACCAGUGGCGAAGGCGGCUUACUGGACUGUAAAUGACGCUGAGGCUCGAAAGCGUGGGGAGCAAACAGG
rnacentral:rRNA from 1 species